rnacentral:rRNA from 1 species
CCUACGGGAGGCAGCAGUGAGGAAUAUUGGUCAAUGGACGAGAGUCUGAACCAGCCAAGUAGCGUGAAGGAUGACUGCCCUAUGGGUUGUAAACUUCUUUUAUAUGGGAAUAAAACGUUCCACGUGUGGGAUUUUGUAUGUACCAUAUGAAUAAGGAUGGGCUAACUCCGUGCCAGCAGCCGCGGUAAUACGGAGGAUCCGAGCGUUAUCCGGAUUUAUUGGGUUUAAAGGGAGCGUAGGUGGAUUGUUAAGUCAGUUGUGAAAGUUUGCGGCUCAACCGUAAAAUUGCAGUUGAAACUGGCAGUCUUGAGUACAGUAGAGGUGGGCGGAAUUCGUGGUGUAGCGGUGAAAUGCUUAGAUAUCACGAAGAACUCCGAUUGCGAAGGCAGUUCACUGGACUGCAACUGACACUGAGGCUCGAAAGUGUGGGUAUCAAACAGGAUUAGAUACCCGAGUAGUC